UCCCAGCUGACGAGUCCCAAACAGGACGAAACGCGUGUACUGGAU
rnacentral:hammerhead_ribozyme from 1 species